rnacentral:rRNA from 1 species
GUAGGGAAUCUUCCGCAAUGGGCGAAAGCCUGACGGAGCAAUGCCGCGUGAACGAUGAAGGCCUUCGGGUCGUAAAGUUCUGUUGUGGGGGAAGAAAACUUCGUUAGAUAACACCUAGCGAGGCUUGACGGUACUCCACGAGGAAGCCCCGGCUAAUUACGUGCCAGCAGCCGCGGUAAUACGUAAGGGGCAAGCGUUGUCCGGAAUCACUGGGCGUAAAGCGCACGUAGGCGGUUUGUCAAGUUGGGGGUGUAAGCUCCGGGCCUAACCCGGAAAUUGCCUCCAAAACUAGCAUACUUGAGUAUUAGAGGGGAAGCUGGAAUUCACGGUGUAGCGGUGAAAUGCGUAGAUAUCGUGGAGAACACCCGUGGCGAAGGCGGGCUUCUGGCUAAUUACUGACGCUGAGGUGCGAAAGCUAGGGGAGCGAACGGGAUUAGAAACCCUGGUAGUCC